GCGGAGGAGGGCUCAAGGGAGAGCCGCGAGCUUCCCAAGCUCAAGGGGCCGGUUCGAUUCCGGUCCUCCGCUCCA
rnacentral:tRNA from 1 species